GGGCGAUUAGCUCAGUGGGAGAGCGCUCCGUUCACACCGGAGAGGUCACUGGUUCGAACCCAGUAUCGCCCACCA
rnacentral:tRNA from 2 species